GGGAGGUAGUGACAAUAAAUAACAAUACGGGGUUCUUUAGGAUCUCGUAAUUGGAAUGAGUACAAUUUAAAUCUCUUAACGAGGAACAAUUGGAGGGCAAGUCUGGUGCCAGCAGCCGCGGUAAUUCCAGCUCCAAUAGCGUAUAUUAAAGUUGUUGCAGUUAAAAAGCUCGUAGUUGAAUUUCGAGACCGGUUUACUGGUCGUGCUUUUGUACGUACUGGUAUUAUUGGUUUCUCCUUUCUGACGAAUCAUAAUGCCAUUAAUUUGGUGUUUUGGGGAAUCAGGACUGUUACUUUGAAAAAUUAGAGUGUUUAAAGCAGGCUCACGCUUGAAUACAUUAGCAUGGAAUAACGAAAUAGGACGUUUGAUUUUAUUUUGUUGGUUUCUAGGAUCGACGUAAUGAUUAAUAGGGAUAGUUGGG
rnacentral:rRNA from 1 species